CAGAUUUUUUUUAUAGGGUUGAAUUUCAACAGAGAGGUUCACCACAUAUUCAUAUCUUGAUUUGGAUUGAAAAUGCACCAGUAUAUGAAAGUGAUUCAAAUGAAGAUGUUGUAGCAUUUAUUGAUAAAUAUGUCUCCUGUUCACUUUCAGAAAAUGAUACUAGUUUAGUCAAUUUGCAAGUUCAUAAACAUUCUAAAACAUGCAGAAAAAAAGGUCACCCAAUUUGUCGUUUUGGUUUCCCCCUUCCACCUAUGAAAGCAACAGUUAUUCUAGAGCCUUUGAAAGAAAAUGAUGACAUAGAA
rnacentral:lncRNA from 1 species